GGAUAAACGCUGGCGGCGUGCCUAACACAUGCAAGUCGAACGCCCUUUUGCGCAAGUGAGAGGGAGUGGCGGACGGGUGAGUACCACGUGGGUACCUACCUUGAGGUGAGGAAUACCACCGAGAAAUCGGUGACAAGACCGCAUACGCUUGGCAACAAGCAAAGUCUCGCAAGAGACGCCACAAGAUGGGCCUGCGCCUGAUUAGCUAGUUGGUGAGGUAAUGGCUCACCAAGGCGACGAUCAGUAGCUGGUCUGAGAGGAUGAUCAGCCACACUGGGAUUGAGAACGGCCCAGACUCCUAC
rnacentral:rRNA from 1 species